rnacentral:rRNA from 2 species
CGUGACCCCAGGUCAGGCGGGGUUACCCGCUGAAUUUAA